GCUGGGCACAGUGGCGCGUGUCUGUAGUCCCAGCUACUCGGGAGGCUGAGGUGGAAGGAUCGCUUGAGCCUAGGAGUUCUGGGCUGUAGUGCGCUCUGCUGAUCGGGUGUCCACACUAAGUUUGGCAUCAAUAUGGUGACCUCCAGGGAGCAAGGGACCACCAGGUUGCCUAAGGAGAGGUGAAUGGCUCAGGUAGGAAAUGGAGCAGGUCAAAACUCCUGUGCUGAUCAGUAGUGGGAUUGCGCCUGUGAAUAGCCACUGCACUCCAGCCUGGGCAACAUAGCAAGACCCUAUCUCU
rnacentral:SRP_RNA from 1 species